AAUUGGUCUGGAGCUGAUGCCGCUCUCCUAACGAGGCCAUGGCAAGCCGAAACCAAUU
rnacentral:hammerhead_ribozyme from 15 species